rnacentral:sRNA from 1 species
GGCAGCUUGAAAACGCGACGUCCUGUCGCAUCAGCUGCAUGACCCGCAUCCUGCAGA